rnacentral:snRNA from 1 species
AUCUCUUUACAUCUUUUGGCUAAGAUCAAGUGUAGUAUCUGUUCUUAUCAGUUUAAUGUCUGAUACGUCCUCUAUCUUCCCUGGUGGCUCAGACGGUAAAGCGUCU